AGAACAUUAGUGUGCUUUAUUAUUUUUUUUGUAAGAUAUUGUCUUUUUUUAAACUGUAAAACUUAAACCCAACAAAGUUUACCACUGCUUUUUUGAUCAAAUGCAAAAUCAAAGUUGUGGAGUAAAGUUGAAUGGCUAAAGGGGACAGAGUGUAAGAAAAAAAGAAGAAUUGAAAGAAAAAAAAGCUAAAUACAAAAUAAAUAUACAUAGUAGUCAAUGAUACAUUUAAAUAAUUUGCUGACUCAGGUAUUUAGUAGAUGAAAACGGAGGAUCCCUCUAUGUCACAAUGUUUAAGUGAAUUGUACAGCGUCGGUAUGCGUUCUUAUUCUCAGGUAUAAACGUCAAGCACUCACAGGAGGCUCAAAUCAAGGUGACACUAAUCCAAAGCAACAACAGACCACAUGUUACUGGACAGCGGAACAGAUGCUCAUUAGCCAAGUUUAUCGGUGUGGAAUGAAGCAGUGGUAGCGGAGAAAAUGAAGAAGUAUUUUGGUAGUUCUCCAGAUGUGUCAACUGCUCACAUUUCACUCAUCGCGACUUAUUAAAGUACUCAAUAGGACGUAGAAAAUGACCACUUUGUUUUUUUAAAUUCAAAUCCAAUCCAAAUCCCAAUGUUACUAUAUCUCCUGAUGUCACCUACAUGUGCCUUUUUUUUUUUUUUUUUUUACCCAACCAAGGACUCGCUACAGUUCAUCAC